rnacentral:rRNA from 1 species
GAUGAACGCUGGCGGCGUGCUUAACACAUGCAAGUCGAACGGACGUUUUGGGCAACUGAGACGUUAGUGGCAAACGGGUGCGUAACACGUGGGUGACCUACCCCAAAGUGGGGAACAACGGACCGAAAGGUUCGCUAAUACCGCAUAAGUUCGGUCCUUCGGUGGGCCGAAUAAAGGCGCAAGUCGCUUUGGGAGGGGCCCGCGGCCCAUCAGGUAGUUGGUGAGGUAAAAGCCCACCAAGCCGAUGACGGGUAGCUGGUCUGAGAGGAUGAUCAGCCACACUGGCACUGAGAUACGGGCCAGACUCCUACGGGUGGCUG